rnacentral:rRNA from 1 species
UAAAGGAAUGGGAGGGGGAGCACCACAAGGGGUGAAGCCUGCGGUUCAAUUGGAGUCAACGCCGGAAAUCUUACCCGGAGAGACAGCAGAAUGAAGGUCAAGCUGAAGACUUUACCAGACAAGCUGAGAGGUGGUGCAUGGCCGUCGCCAGCUCGUGCCGUGAGAUGUCCUGUUAAGUCAGGUAACGAGCGAGAUCCCUGCCGCUAGUUGCUAUCAUUAUUCUCAGGAAUAGUGGAGCGAAUUAGUGGGACUGCCGUUGUUAAAACGGAGGAAGGAAGGGGCUACGGCAGGUCAGUAUGCCCCGAAACUCUGGGGCCACACGCGGGCUGCAAUGGUAGUGACAAUGAGUUCCAAACUCGAAAGAGAGUGGCAAUCUCUAAACGCUACCACAUGUUAUGACUGAGGGCUGUAACUCGCCCUCACGAAUAUGGAAUCCCUAGUAACCGCGUGUCAUUACCGCGCGGUGAAUACGUCCCUGCUCCUUGCACACACCGCCA